rnacentral:rRNA from 1 species
AGUUAUCGUUUAUUUGAUAGCACCUUACUACUUGGAUAACCGUGGUAAUUCUAGAGCUAAUACAUGCUAAAAAUCCCGACUUCGGAAGGGAUGUAUUUAUUAGAUUAAAAACCAAUGCCUUCGGGCUUUCUGGUGAUUCAUGAUAACUUCUCGAAUCGCAUGGCCUUGCGCCGGCGAUGGUUCAUUCAAAUUUCUUCCCUAUCAACUUUCGAUGCGAAGGUCUUGUCUUCGCAUGGUUACAACGGGUAACGGAGGGUUAGGGCUCGACCCCGGAGAGGGAGCCUGAGAAAUGGCUACCACUUUUAAGGAAGGCAGCAGGCGCGCAAAUUACCCAAUCCCGACACGGGGAGGUAGUGACAAUAAAUACUGAUACAGGGCUCUUAUGGGUCUUGUAAUCGGAAUGAGUACAAUUUAAAUCCCUUAACGAGGAACAAUUGGAGGGCAAGUCUGGUGCCAGCAGCCGCGGUAAUUCCAGCUCCAAUAGCGUAUAUUAAAGUUGUUGUGGUUAAAAAGCUCGUAGUUGAACCUUGGGCCUGGCUGGCCGGUCCCCCUCACCGGGUGCACUGGUCCGGCCGGGUCUUUCCCUCUGUGGAACCGCAUGCCCUUCACUGGGUGUGUCGGGGAAACAGGACUUUUACUUUGAAAAAAUUAGAGUGCUCCAGGCAGGCCUAUGCUCGAAUAGUACAGCAUGGAAUAAUAGAAUAGGACGUGUGGUUCUAUUUUGUUGGUUUCUAGGACCGCCGUAAUGAUUAAUAGGGACAGUCGGGGGCAUCAGUAUUCAGCUGUCAGAGGUGAAAUUCUUGGAUCUGCUGAAGACUAACUACUGCGAAAGCAUUUGCCAAGGAUGUUUUCAUUGAUAAGGAACGAAAGUUAGGGGAUCGAAGACGAUCAGAUACCGUCGUAGUCUUAACCAUAAACUAUGCCGACUAGGGAUCGGACGAUGUUAUUUUUUGACUCGUUCGGCACCUUUCGAGAAAUCAAAGUG